AUGCAUGUCUUCAAAUUUCUUCUUCACAUCAUCAUCAACACUCAAUCAACAUCACAUAUAAACAACAGCCGAAAAAGGAAAAUGCAAAAGAAUCACAAACAGAAGAGAAAUCACAUAAUCAAGAAGGCACAAGGUCAAGUAUAUUACCUGGAAUUCGCAUCAGUAUCUCGUCAUUUUAUUCGUCGAAACAAGAACCACCGGAGUUCUCUAGUAGGUAAGUCGAUCUUCUUCUCAAUCUCUUUAUCCUUUUCACUCUUUCUGUGA